GGGGGGGGGGGGGGGGGGGGGGGGGGGGGGGGGGCUAGCGUACGGCAACCCUUGCCCUCCACAGCGUCUUUUGUCUCCGCAAGACGACCUGUCGACGGCGACAGGAGAGAAGAGCACGCGGCAGCAGCCGAUUACGUCUUCGACUUCGUCGUCGUAGGGGCUUCCCGUCGUCAGCGGUUCGAGCGAAGGAGGAAAACAAAAAAAAAACGGCCCCGGAGCGGGGUACAGGCGCCUGCAACGUGCGAGGCCUCCUUUCAUAACCUGCAGCGUGAUACCGAAGCCGGCGCUAUACCGGGACGUGGACGUAAGACGGGCGCACGUGUACCGAGCCGUACGUGGCUAUUUAGGGCGAACACAAGUAAGCCUCUUUCUUUCUUUUUUUCCUUUCCUUUUCUUUUCAACGGCUGUAGUCGCCACUAUAUACUGAACUUGGGAUUGCAGCGAACGUAUAUACGGGCUACAAUGAAUGAAUUCCGGGGUUUUUUACGUGCCCGAAACCACGAUUCGAUUAUGAGGCACGACGCCAACCCGUACUAUAAGAUGAUGAAGCCAUUUGUGGAGAUAUGCUAUACCUCCUCGGAGAAAAGGUUCGAAGAACGGCUCAGGUCUCCGCAUCCCCAUUGUUACGGCCGGACAAAUGGAGACCACGAAGCUGCGUUCGACAUUCGCUUGCAGACGUUGGGAAUAAUUUAAUCACGCUUUGCAUUGGAUGCUCAAAGUGUGUUGAGUGCCGUCGUUUCUUUUUUUUCCCUCUUUCUCUUCAGAGUUCGUGACGUGAUGGCGGCACUAUAUACAGAGGAAUCGGCUUCCCACCGUAAGAAAUUGGGCCUGCUGGUCGUAUAUGACCGACACGGCGUAAAUUUGCAUCAAAAACGACUGGUGGCUGGUGAUGAACGUCUCGAGCGACAAAUCGCCAUUCUGACAGGUGAAUCCUUUAGGAUAAUGUUCCCGCUACCACGGCGGGAAUUUUCAUUAGCACAACCACGGCAGCCCACGAUGAAUUCGCCUUCGUCGGUAAGGUACAGGGAGGAGCUCUUGAGGCACACAUAUCGACGGAUGAAUCAAAGGCAGCUAUCAUCUGAGCCAAUCACGAUGCGUUUACCGCCAAGUUCUACUACUACCACUGCAACACCCCAACGCUAUGGACGAUCGAGUGAUUCCCCCGAGUACCACAGCCCGAGAUCGUGGACCACGGUCAACCACGAAGCAUCCAGAAGAUUCAGGCAACCAUUGUUGGUUUUUUUUCCAACGCCGGGCCGCUGUGGAUCCAAGUAGAGACGCUCUGAAAAUAGCAGGUCUUCUCUUUUUCUGGAAAGGGUGGCGCUACUCGAACGCAUCGAGCUGGAAAUGCCAAGAUGCAAAGCUGCAAGAAUAACUAUGAUAGGACCACGUUUCCAGAUGAGCGCCAAGGUUAAGUUGCUGAAGGAGCUUUAGCUUAUUAAAAAAUGAUAACACGAGUAACUAGUAGCCGCGUAGAGGAAAAUUACGAGCCAAAAAGCGAUGUUCUCGUCACCUAGCAAUUACCCCCGCUCUAACAAACCAAGGUGUUUAUACGUGUUAUCCUAAAUAGUAUGCUUCCAUUUUUUAUGUUCGUAUCUUUCCUGCAUUAUGAUAGUAUUGUAUGACAAUUAACAGUUUUCGGCUUCAGCGUUCAUAACGCAUAUCGAAGCUAACACGCACUGUGCUACAUUAGUUGGCUUUCUUGUUUUUUUUUUUUUUGUUUUUUUUUUUCGCAUGAGUUAAUUAUUUACCUUGGUCGGCUAAGAGCUGAGACGGUUGCGUUGUAAACAAUAGCCGCCCUUUUCUGAGAGGAACUCAUCCGAAAACGUGGACACAUCAAGAAAAAAAGAGUCGCAGAAAGGCAUUCAAAGCGAACAAGCUUCUAAAUAACUCUCUAAUUAUGACAGGCAUAUCGCGCCGACGCACAUGCGCAGACAGUUUCUACGGCUGUGCGGCGAUCGGAGAUGGAAAGGGAGAGAAGAUAACAUUGCCAAGGUCACGUGGACAGCUACGCACUCACGCGAACAGUGCGUGAGGUCGAGGCGCACUACGAGCUCGUGCAACUACCACCGGCCGCACGUGCUGGCACAGGAAAUGACGUAGGCAUCGUACGUCGCACUUACCAAACGGAAGUCACGUGGAGGGAGAGUGGGCGGGGCAGCGACGAUCCGCUCGACGGUCACGUGAGGCGUGAAAAAUUAAGCGUGAUCAGAAUGAGGGCUUCGAGAGAAAAGAAAUGCAAACACAGCACGACAACUACAGGGGACACAUGUUCCGAGAGCAACACCGUUAGGAUAGCGGAGAUUCGGGAAGCUCAGCGCUUAGACGAAACGCAAUGAACAGAACGACCCACACGGUGCGCUGAAUAGCAACCUGAUGAAGUGAUGAGUUCAUCGUCUCUUGCCUUGAAAUUUUGUACAGCAUCAAAAAACAACUGAGAGAGGAAAGAAAUAAAGACAAGUGUGGUAAUAGGGUGGCUUAGAGAGAGCAUGGCCACUCGGGAAAUAUUUAAAGUCUUUGUUAUACACACAUACACACACAAAAGGAGACACGUGUGUGAGCACGCCAUCUCUUUUAUGGCAUGAAAAGGAGUACUGUAUCUGUCGCGAA